AGUUUUUUGUAUUUUUUUGUAGAGACAGGGUUUCGUGUUUCACUGUGUUGCCCAGGCUGGUCAUGGACUCCAUGUUUUUAGUUCUUGGUUUUUUAGUUUGCUUACUUGUUCAUUCUUUCAAAUUUUCUUUUUUAAAGGGAAUAUUUCUAGAAUUUUAGAGACAAUUAUUUGAAAAUAAGCACAAUAGAAGGAUUUUGGCAGUU
rnacentral:lncRNA from 10 species